rnacentral:rRNA from 1 species
UACGGGGGGGGCAAGCGUUGUUCGGAAUUACUGGGCGUAAAGGGCGCGUAGGCGGCCUGCUAAGUCGGACGUGAAAUCCCUCGGCUCAACCUGGGAACUGCGUCCGAUACUGGUGGGCUCGAAUCCUGGAGAGGGAUGUGGAAUUCCAGGUGUAGCGGUGAAAUGCGUAGAUAUCUGGAGGAACACCGGUGGCGAAGGCGGCAUCCUGGACCGGUAUUGACGCUGAUGCGCGAAAGCCAGGGGAGCAAACGGG